UACGUAGGGUGCAAGCGUUAAUCGGAAUUACUGGGCGUAAAGCGUGCGCAGGCGGUUGUGCAAGCCAGAUGUGAAAUCCCCGGGCUUAACCUGGGAACUGCAUUUGUGACUGCACAGCUGGAGUGCGGCAGAGGGGGAUGGAAUUCCGCGUGUAGCAGUGAAAUGCGUAGAUAUGCGGAGGAACACCGAUGGCGAAGGCAAUCCCCUGGGCCUGCACUGACGCUCAUGCACGAAAGCUAGGGUAGCGAACGGG
rnacentral:rRNA from 1 species